rnacentral:rRNA from 1 species
GACAGAGGGUGCAAACGUUGCUCGGAAUCACUGGGCGUAAAGGGCGCGUAGGCGGGAAUGUAAGUCGGGCGUGAAAUCCCCAGGCUCAACCUGGGAACUGCACUCGAAACUGCGUUUCUUGAGUAUCGGAGAGGAAAGCGGAAUUCCUGGUGUAGAGGUGAAAUUCGUAGAUAUCAGGAGGAACACCAGUGGCGAAGGCGGCUUUCUGGACGGGUAACUGGAC